UAGCUCGACUUAAUUUCCCUAUUACAUCUAACAAAUUACUAAAUUUAAGAGCUAUUCAAAUAAGGUACAGCUUAUUUGAAACGGGAUACAACCCCCGACACCGGGUUAAUCUAGAGAUAAUAAAUAAAGUGGGCCUAAAAGCAGCCAUCUUCCAAAAAGCGUUAAAGCUUCAUAUAUUUCAUCUUUAAUUCCGUAAUUUUUACUUAACCCUUCAUUGCUACUGAACUAUUUUAUACCCCUAUAAAAGUUAUCAUGCUAGAACUAGUAACAAGAAAUAGCCUUUCUCCUAAAUGUAUGUUUGAACCAAAAUGGACACUCCACUGGUAAUUAACGUAAAUGUAAAUAUCAUAGUAUACACAGCUAGAAAACCCUAUGUUUGCUAACGUCAACCUUACACUAGAACAUUACAGGAAAGAUUAAAAGAGAAAGAAGGAACUCGGCAAAUCACAGUCCCGCCUGUUUACCAAAAACAUCGCCUCUUGACUAAACAUAAGAGGUCCAGCCUGCCCAGUGACAUAGUUUAACGGCCGCGGUACCCUAACCGUGCGAAGGUAGCAUAAUCACUUGUUCUUUAAAUAGGGACUUGUAUCAACGGCAUCACGAGGGCUGUACUGUCUCCUUUCUCCAAUCAGUGAAACUGAUCUCCCCGUGAAGAAGCGGGGAUGAAUCUAUAAGACGAGAAGACCCCAUGGAGCUUAAACCCAUCAUUCACCUCUGUAUAUUUAAAUCAACAUAACCCAAAAGGCUGUAUGCUGGUUUUAGGUUGGGGAGACCGCGGAGUAAAAUUAAACCUCCACGACAGACGGGCUAACACCCUUAUCUACGAACCACAAUUCUAAGAACCAAUAAAUUGUUGUCUAGUGACCCAAUAUUUGAUCAACGAACUAAGUUACCCUGGGGAUAACAGCGCAAUCUACUUCAAGAGCUCCUAUCGACAAGUGGGUUUACGACCUCGAUGUUGGAUCAGGGUGUCCUAGUGGUGCAGCCGCUACUAAAGGUUCGUUUGUUCAACGAUUAAAACCCUACG
rnacentral:rRNA from 1 species